UGGAGGAAGGAGGCCACAAACCUAGAAGC
rnacentral:piRNA from 1 species